rnacentral:rRNA from 1 species
UACAGAGGUCCCGAGCGUUGUUCGGAUUCAUUGGGCGUAAAGGGUGCGUAGGCGGCGGGGUAAGUUUGAUGUGAAAUCCCGGGGGCUCAACCCUGGAAUUGCAUUGAAUACUACCUUGCUAGAGUACCGGAGAGGAAACUGGAAUUUACGGUGUAGCAGUGAAAUGCGUAGAGAUCGUAAGGAAGACCAGUGGCGAAGGCGAGUUUCUGGACGGUAACUGACGCUGAGGCACGAAGGCCAGGGGAGCAAACGGG